rnacentral:rRNA from 1 species
UGGGGAAUAUUGGGCAAUGGAGGCAACUCUGACCCAGCAAUGCCGCGUGAAUGAAGAAGGUCUUCGGAUUGUAAAGUUCUUUAAUCAGGGACGAAGAAGAUGACGGUACCUGAGGAAUAAGCCACGGCAAACUAUGUGCCAGCAGCCGCGGUAAUACAUAGGUGGCAAGCGUUGUCCGGAAUGACUGGGCGUAAAGGGAGCGUAGGCGGUCUGUUAAGUUGGAAGUGAAAUCCCGGGGCUCAACCCCGGAACUGCUUUCAAGACUGACGGACUUGAGUGUAAGAGGGGUAAGCGGAAUUCCUA